CCAUUCUCGCAAACUUAAUCAUGAAGCCAAAAUUCCCCCAUUCAGUCUUGUCAUUGUCUUUCGAGGAUCGGAUUCCAUUCCAUCGGAUAUUUCAGAGAAUGAGCAAAAGAUGAAAAGAAAAACCUUUGGAUAACAAUGUACGGGAAUCAAUCUGAUAACAGCUACAGAUUACAAAUCCAAGCGAAUGGUUUCGAGCAUCAGCUGCAGUGUAAGGAAAUGAUGGCGACGUCCUUCAAUAGAAGCUGGGCUCAGCAGACCGAAGAGAGUUACCAGCUGCAACUGGCGCUGGCUCUGCGGGUUUCUUCGCAGGCUGCUUCUGCUGCUGAUUCCAACUUCUUGGAUUUCGGUUCUGAUGCUAAUAGUAACAGAGUUCCUUCUUCUUCUUCUUCAUCUCAGCAUGUGUCUCAUCGAUUCUGGGUAAAUGGCAAUCUGUCUUACUUUGAUAGAAUUCCAGAUGGAUUUUACCUAGUCAAUGGGAUGGAUCCUUAUGUAUGGACCAUAAGUGCUGAUCAAGGAGAGAUUGGCCAGAUGCCCUCCCUUGAGUCAUUAAAGGCCAUUGAUCUACAUGAUGAUUUGUCAAUUACAGUUGUUGUGAUUGAUAGAUUGAGGGAUCCUAGUUUGAAGGAACUUCAGAACUGGAUUCUCAAUAUUUCUAGCAGCUGGAUCAGCACAAAAGAGGCAAUAAAUCAGCUUGCAUGUCUUGUUUGUAACCAGAUGGGGGGUGCAGCCUCUUCUGAAGAACGUGUUUAUAGACAAUGGAAGGAGUGCACCGUAGUUCUGAAAAGCUGCCUAGGCUCUAUUGUGUUUCCAAUUGGAAGAAUAUCUUCUGGGCUUUGUGUCCAUCGUGUGUUACUAUUUAAGAUAUUAGCAGACUUGGUUAACCUACCAUGUCGAAUCACGAAGGGUUGCAAAUAUUGCCAGAGGGAAGAUGCUUCAUCCUGUCUUGUGCAAUUGAGUCCUGACAGGGAAUAUUUAGUAGAUUUGUUUGAGGAGCCGGGAGCCUUAAGCCAACCAGAUUCCUCACUCAAUGGUACAUCAUCAAUUUUAGUUUCUUCACCACUGUGUCAUCCAAGAUUUAAACCGGUUGAAACUGCUACAAGCGUCAAGACAUUGGCCAAACUCUAUUUCAUUGAUAAUCUAUCCCAUAAACAUGUUUGUGACGAUGCUUCCUCAGCAGAUAAUGCUAGCAACCAAGAUGACCAAAUUGGCGCACAGCCAAGAAAAGCAUUUGAUGUAAAUUACUUUAACAAGAACGACCUUGUUUCCACCUUAAAUGACAACAAUGAAUCUUCUGUGUCACCUCUGCACCAGAGAACUUCCAGGAAUAUCAGCUGUGAUAGAGAUCUUCAGAUGCAAAACUCCUCAAAUUUGUUGCCAAAAGCCAUCAACUCGACACAUUUGAUCAGAAGUCCUCUUUUUCCAUGUUCUGUUACAUCUCACAUGCACAAAGGUGUUUAUCAAGCUAUGCCAUUCUCUGAUCCAAGGCAAUCUACUAUGAACUUCAAGCAAUUGGAUGAUCCAGUAAUGUAUUUUGACCAGGAAGAUUUAAAUAUUCCUUGGAGUGAACUUGUUUUAAAGGAGAAAGUUGGAGCAGGUUCUUUCGGAACUGUCCAUCGUGCUGAAUUUCGUGGUUGCGAAGUUGCCGUCAAAAUUCUCAUGGAGCAAGAUUUUCAUAUAGAACGCUUCAGGGAAUUUUUAAGGGAGGUUGCCAUCAUGAAAUGCUUACGGCACCCUAACAUUGUUCGCUUUAUGGGUGCUGUUACUCAACCACCAAAGUUGUCCAUUGUUACCGAAUAUUUGUCGAGAGGGAGCAUGUUUAGACUUUUGCAGAUGCCUGAUGCUUGGAUGGUUUUAAAUGAGAGGGUUCGCUUGAAUAUGUCAUUAGAUGUGGCAAGGGGAAUGAAUUAUCUCCAUCAACUUAAGCCUCCCAUUGUUCAUCGGGACUUGAAGUCCCCGAAUCUUUUGGUAGAUAGUAAUUAUACAGUUAAAGUAUGUGAUUUUGGUCUUUCACGUUCAAAGGAAAAUACAUUUCUUUCAUCGAAAACAGCUGCCGGAACACCUGAGUGGAUGGCACCUGAAGUUCUAUGUGAUGAGAAUUCAAAUGAGAAAUCCGAUGUUUAUAGCUUUGGAGUGGUUCUGUGGGAACUUAUGACACUGCAACAACCAUGGAAGCAGUUAAACCCACCACAGGUUGUGGCUGCUGUAGGUUUUAAAGGUAAAAGGCUUGAGAUACCAAGCAAUGUAAACCGAGUUGUGGCUUCCUUGAUUGAACUCUGUUGGGCACAGGAGCCUUCGAAACGCCCUCCAUUCUCCUAUGUCAUUGAAUGUUUGCAGCAAGUGAUCGAAAAUACUGCACCUCAAGAACUUCAUUGACAAAUUCCAUGAUUGCAGAAACCUGGGGGCUGGGUGCAUGACAAGUGCCUGACCUGAAUCUACCAGUAUCUACUCCCCAUUCUUUAGGUUUUGUCUUUAGGAAGUGCAUGACAAAAGCGAAAAGAGAGGUGCAAGCAUAUAAACAACUACUCGUUAGAGCUAACAAGUUUAUUAGAAACCGAAAGAGGAUCGUACAAGCUUAGUUUCAUUAUGUCAAGAAGCAGAACCAUGCAUUUCAAUGUAUCUUGGAACUCUAUAUCAUGACAGUUAAACCUCUGGGUUUUUUACUUGUCUAUGAUUAAAACUGAAACAAGAAUUUGAAACUGUUCUUUGGACUCGGAAGCGACUGCAGGAUAUAGGUAUGAUUCUGACAGGUUUCUUUUAAAAAAAAAUCAUGUAUUUGGAAGAUCAUAACCUUAUAUUCAUGUAUCGGGUUCGGAAAAAAAUGAGAAAUAUGAGCAACA